rnacentral:rRNA from 1 species
AUUGAACGCUGGCGGCAGGCCUAACACAUGCAAGUCGCACGAGUGGCGGACGGGUGAGUAAUGUCUGGGAAACUGCCCGAUGGAGGGUGAUAACUACUGGAAACGGUAGCUAAUACCGCAUACCAUCGGAUGUUCCCAGAUGGGAUUAGCUUGUAGGUGAGGGAACGGCUCACCUAGGCGACGAUCCCUAGCUGGUCUGAGCGGAUGAUCAGUAACACUAGAACUGAGACACGGUCCAGACGCCUACGGGAGGCAGCAGUGGGGAAUAUUGGACAAUGGGCGAAAGCCUGUUCCAGCCAUGCCGCGUGUGUGAAGAAGGUCUUCGGAUUGUAAAGCACUUUAAGUUGGGAGGCGUUACCAACAGAAUAAGCACCGGCGAACUUCGUGCCAGCCGCCGCGGUAAUUC